UAAUUUUUAGUGUACUUCACAUCAAAUUUUGAAUUUGGAAAAAAUGAUUAAUUAUCAUUAAAAUUAA